ensembl:lncRNA
CAAACACGCGGCAUCGCGACGCGGUGCCCCCCGGACGUCCAAGAGCGAACCAACAAGCUCAGACACUGAAAAGCCACUAUCGGAUCACCUCAGAGCGCUCUCCAGGCUGAAGAGCCCCAGCUCUCUCAGCCUGUCCUCAUAGGAGAGGUUUUUCCAUCCCUUGGAUCAUUUUUGUGGCCCUCCUCUGGAUGCUCUCCAACAGGUCCACGUCUCUCCUGUACAGAGGACUCCACAUCUGGACACAGUACUCCAGGAGUACCAGGCUGCUCUGUACAUCUUCAAAGAUGCUGAUUAAAUCCAGUCUUUACAGCUUCAUAGAAAACCAAAUCACGUGAAUUCAACUCGGUAAUAGAGGAACAGCUGGACUGACUACCAGAGUUACAGAAGUCAUCUGGAAGCAGAAUUUUACAUGUGAACGAGUUGAAAAUUUUAAUUAGGCUUUUAAAGAUCACCAGUCUUUGUGUGGCAUAAACUUGGUAGCUUGUUCUAUCAUGCAAUUUCAAAUAUGACACCUUCAGUAUAUUAGUAAAAAAAAAAUGUAGUGUUAUUCACAUGUAUGACUUCAAGCAUGAAUUUAUUAAACUCAGCUUCACUGUCUAUCGGGUAGUCUUCUCAGCUACAGAGUGAGAAAUGGGAUACUGAACAUUUAAAAGUUAAUGUGAUCCUCUUGCUGUCAGAUUUCAACUUAGUGUCUGGAAAAGAAGUCAUGGAGAGUAGGCAAGAAGGCUCAGCACUUUGCAUAAGGCCAGAGCCAUAUGCCUUCAUUCAAAGUGACAUAAUUCUUCUAUGUGGAAUCCUGAAUCAGAGUUUUGUUCAUAUUUAGAAUACAUAUGUAUUUGUUGAUGGCAAAGCAUUACUGACAUUAAUUAAACUUCCUCAUGUAUUUUUUUUUAAAGUAGAUACAUUUAUACAGAGCUAGAUAAGGUCUUGAACCUCAUCAGGAAAGCCCCUACUUCAGUCCAGUAGUUUUCCAUUGAGUGUUAGUGAUACAAAGAUACCAUGGAUGAG